UGCUAAAGACGGAGGAAGGGAAAUGGGCGAACGGUAGGUCAGUAUGCUCCCGAAUAUCCCGGGCUACACGCGAGCUACAAUGGUUGGUACAAUGGGUAUCUACCCCGAAAGGGGACGGGAAUCUCCUAAAACCAAUCUUAGUUCGGAUUGAGGGCUGCAACUCGCCCUCAUGAAGCUGGAAUCCGUAGUAAUCGCGUUUCAACAGAACGCGGUGAAUACGUCCCUGCUCCUU
rnacentral:rRNA from 1 species